AACGAACGCUAGCGGCAGGCUUAAUACAUGCAAGUCGAGGGGUAGCAAGAUUGUAGCAAUACAAUUGUUGACGACCGGCAAACGGGCGCGGAACACGUACACAACCUUCCUACAAGUGGGGAAUAGCCCAGAGAAAUUUGGAUUAAUACCCCGUAACAUAGCGAUGUGGCAUCACAUUGCUAUUAUAGCUUCGGCGCUUGUUGAUGGGUGUGCGGCUGAUUAGAUAGUUGGCGGGGUAACGGCCCACCAAGUCUACGAUCAGUAGCUGAUGUGAGAGCAUGAUCAGCCACACGGGCACUGAGACACGGGCCCGACUCCUACGGGAGGCAGCAGUAAGGAAUAUUGGACAAUGGACGCAAGUCUGAUCCAGCCAUGCCGCGUGAAGGAUUAAGGUCCUCUGGAUUGUAAACUUCUUUUAUAAGGGACGAAAAAAGGUCUUUCUAGAUCGUCUGACGGUACCUUAUGAAUAAGCACCGGCUAACUCCGUGCCAGCAGCCGCAGUAAUAC
rnacentral:rRNA from 1 species